CCACAGCCGAUUAAGUCAACCAGGAAGGUCCCUUUCCCUGUGGGGGCCUGGUGUGCAAUUGUUGCAGAUGGCAGAAGCCUUUUGCCUAUAUGGUUAUCCAAACGGAAGUUGGAAACAAUU
ensembl:snoRNA LOC120103253 small nucleolar RNA SNORA70